rnacentral:ncRNA from 1 species
GAGAGCUUUUUGCGGGGAAACUUGCAAGUCAAGUUUGGGGGGGGGGGCGGGCGUCGACCCAAC